GAUUAAGUGGCGAACGGGUGAGUAACACGUGAGUAACCUGCCCUUAACUCUGGGAUAAGCCUGGGAAACUGGGUCUAAUACCGGAUAUGACUCCUCAUCGCAUGGUGGGGGGUGGAAAGCUUUUGGUGGUUUUGGAUGGACUCGCGGCCUAUCAGCUUGUUGGUGAGGUAAUGGCUCACCAAGGCGACGACGGGUAGCCGGCCUGAGAGGGUGACCGGCCACACUGGGACUGAGACACGGCCCAGACUCCUACGGGAGGCAGCAGUGGGGAAUAUUGCACAAUGGGCGCAAGCCUGAUGCAGCGACGCCGCGUGAGGGAUGACGGCCUUCGGGUUGUAAACCUCUUUCAGUAGGGAAGAAGCGAAAGUGACGGUACCUGCAGAAGAAGCGCCGGCUAACUACGUGCCAGCAGCCGCGGUAAUACGUAGGGCGCAAGCGUUAUCCGGAAUUAUUGGGCGUAAAGAGCUCGUAGGCGGUUUGUCGCGUCUGCCGUGAAAGUCCGGGGCUCAACUCCGGAUCUGCGGUGGGUACGGGCAGACUAGAGUGAUGUAGGGGAGACUGGAAUUCCUGGUGUAGCGGUGAAAUGCGCAGAUAUCAGGAGGAACACCGAUGGCGAAGGCAGGUCUCUGGGCAUUAACUGACGCUGAGGAGCGAAAGCAUGGGGAGCGAACAGGAUUAGAUACCCUGGUAGUCCAUGCCGUAAACGUUGGGCACUAGGUGU
rnacentral:rRNA from 1 species